rnacentral:rRNA from 1 species
CUACGGGGCGCUGCAGUGAGGAAUAUUGCACAAUGGGGGGAACCCUGAUGCAGCAACGCCGCGUGGAGGAUGACGCAUUUCGGUGUGUAAACUCCUUUUAUAUGUCAAGAAAAUGACGGUAGCAUAUGAAUAAGCACCGGCUAACUCCGUGCCAGCAGCCGCGGUAAUACGGAGGGUGCAAGCGUUACUCGGAAUCACUGGGCGUAAAGGACGCGUAGGCGGGUUGGAAAGUCAGGUGUGAAAUCCUACAGCUUAACUGUAGAACUGCACUUGAAACUUCUAAUCUAGAGUAUGGGAGGGGGAGAUGGAAUUAGUGGUGUAGGGGUAAAAUCCGUAGAUAUCACUAGGAAUACCUAAAGCGAAGGCGAUCUCCUGGAACAUUACUGACGCUAAGGCGUGAAAGCGUGGGGAGCAAACAGGAUUAGACCCGCGUAGUC